rnacentral:lncRNA from 1 species
UGGAGGAUCCAAUGAAAACCAGCAGGAUUCAGCAGGGGAUGCUGGAAGGCAGGGCUCAGCCAGGCCUGGUGGCCAGAAGACAGAGACAGUGGCCUUUCCGGCAGGACAGUCUCAAGGUAGUUGAACGUCUUACCUGGCAGCUCAGGGCUACCAGAGAGAGACCAGAAUGGUUACGUAAUCUCCCAGAGCAAGCCACUGGAGUCAGCCAGGACUCAGGGUGGGGAACUGGACUUUACUUCUCAACAGGUAGAGAGUGAAGAGUGUGAGGCUGACUCAUCUUUACACACCCAGACCAACUGACGGAGCGCCUGGGCACAGCAGCCACCCCUAGAUUGUCUACAUCUGCAAUGCUAUGGCCGGACAGAUGGCAUUCACUCCUGCGUGGGCUCUGGUCCUCGGCCCGUGGAAGAUGAAUCCCAAUCCCCAGAACAUUAGUGGGUGUUGGUAAAAGUACCACGGAUCAAUGUGAAAGUCUGGCUGUUACUGCUCCUUUUGCUCAUCAGACGAGGAGAGGCGGAGGGGUGGACAGGUCUCGCCUGCAUCCGGUGCCACCUCCUUGGAUACCAGGUCCACCCAGGCCCCCUGCUCCCAGGCCGCGGGAACACUUCCUGCUCAGCUAGGAGGAGCCCCAAGCAGGUCAUCCCUGCCUGGGGAGGGGACGGACAGAGAUGGGGUGGGGGUG